rnacentral:lncRNA from 1 species
UUUCAGUUCAGAUGUGGCUUUCUUCUUUUUGUGAAAGAAACUAUUUGAGCUUUCUUCAUACUCCAAGCAUUGAGGGUUGAGAUAUUGACAUCAAAAGUGCCAUUGUUGAAUGCAUAUAGGUAGGCUUGGUUAUCUAUGGCCAGCUUGGGAUAAACUCUGGCAGUGAUGCAAGCUCUUCCUUCCCCACCAAAGCUCUCCACAAUAGAAUGAUCUAUCUGCAAUUUAGGAAUCCAAUUGCAUCAGUCUAUAGAAAACUUUGAAAUGUUAUUAAUGAAGUGUUAAAGCAAAUAUAACAUACAAGACUUCUCAGUGAAAUCAUCUCAUUAAGAGGGUCCAUGUCAAUGAAAGCUCCAUAAAUGGUCUUUUUGGGUCCUUCCUCUAGAGAUGACCUGCUUUGAUCACUGCACAUGAGCACUACAUACUUGUCAUUACUUCUGAAAACGCGAAAGAAGAUUGAGGUUUGCUCUGUCAAGUCUUUUGAAGCUAAAGCCAGUAUUCCGAAUGGUCCAAUAUUGCCUCCAACCGAUGCUGCCUUCUGACUACAGAGCAGUUGAGGAUCAACCCAACUUGGAUCCAAUAAGUCAGCCUCCUUUAAGUUGGACGAAUUGAAGGAAACUUCGACAUCGGCCUUUAGCAGCAUGAAGGCAAGAUGGUUAACUCAAUCUUUCACUUUUAUGAGAUUCCUGGGCAUUAUGUACAAUUGAGAAAUAAAGCUACACCUGAGAAGCUGUAAUGCCUGAGAUUUCAAGUACAGAUCCACCCUUAAGUUCCUUGUUCUUGAAGCUGACAUUUACGGUACGUUGCUUUUCAAUCUCUUCCACCGGCCACUGAAUCAAUUGCUUACCAGUUUUACUAAGUAGAAUGCUUCGAGGAAAUGACUGAAAACAAACAUCACCAUUGUUAGAAAACAUGGAAUCUUCAACGUAUUUUGUGACUAGUAGGAUUAAAGGUUAUAUUACCUGUAGACCAGACCAGUCUUUCUUGAUGUCAUCUGUUGUACUGUCAGACUCUUGUAUCCAGGCCCACAAGAUCCUUCUCUUCUUGGCGCUGUCGAAAAAUGUCUUAGAAGCAUAGAAGUUACCAUAAUCGUAUCGUAAAUCUGAACCAUUCUCCAAGAAAUCAGUGUCAACCGAAAAAUUAUCUGUCACGGCCGUGUAAUUUCCUAGUACAUAGUGAUCGCUGCUGUCGAAGCUUGCCUUGAGAACAUGUUUUGUGAAUUUGUCAAGUGAAGAGGUGUCAACUCCAUUUUUUCCAUCAAGGGAAACUGGAUAGAAAUCAGGACAUUCCCACAUGCCAGUCCUUGUGGACGAGUGAAUAGGUUCUUUACUCUGUGUCCAUGUAACAAAAUCUCGACUUCGAUACAGCAGUGCCCUUCCGUGGCUAUUCAUCUCGUUCCCAACUAAGACCCUCCAUAAUCCAUCAGGACCUUGCCAAGCAGUUGUAGGAUCCCUAAAGUUCUCUGAGUCCAUACCAUCAACAUGGGUGAUUAUAGGAUUAUGAGAUGAUUUCACCCAUUCCCUUAGCAUAGGAUCAGAUAAGUUUUUCGGCUCAGCCAAGUUUUGAACUUGGCGGUUCAUGGUAACACCUCCCGUAUAUAAAAUGACUGGUUUUCCCCCGGAAAGGAACGUGGUUGAGCCUGACCAGCAGCCGUUGAUAUCGAAAGGAUCAUCAGGAGAAAGUGCAAUAUCAAGAUGAAUCCAGUUGACAAGAUCAUAUGAUAUUGAAUGAGCCCAUGUUAUGGCGCCCCACACUGCAGCAUAUGGAUUAUAUUGAUAGAACAGAUGGUAAACUCCCUUGUAGUACAUGGGACCUGAGGUAGAUGUAUCCAUUUUAGAAGAUUUGCAUACUUCUAUUACAAAAUUAAAUGGUGGGACUUUGUUUGUUCAUAUGAAGAGUUCCAUGAAUAUCUGAAAUGAACUUUCAGCCUUCUAGUAAUCAAUACAUAGAACAAAUGAAGAACAUGUAACACAUGAAAAGCAUAACCAGGAGAAACAAAAAGUUUUACCAUUAGGAUCUGCAGUGCCAUAAGUUCCCAUUUGAAGAUUACAUGUAAAACACACACACACAGAACAAAGACAAAGUCAACUCUCUAUAACAGGGGAUAAAGACCGUAAACCACAGUUGUAAGGAAACAAACCAUUCAUCCAGUUUUUGGGAGGCUGAAAGUGGUAACCAGUUCUAUAAGGCUGAUCCUGUGGAAGAGAUUGAAGCUUUUUAUCAUCUCUAUCAGAUUGAACUCCAUUCCCAAGCAACACAAAGCAGAAGCCUACGACCAAAACAACAGAUAAAUCCAUUGUAACCUUCAGUUUCAGGUCAGUCAUCAAUGGCUCAAUGGGUUGCUAUAUACUUCCUAUGAAGAUACUAAAAUACUGAAAGAAGUUUUCGAAGGUCAGAUUGAAUCAUCUUAUGGUCUUGCAAAGUCGACUUUAAUUUUAUUGAUGAAAAUGGGACAAAGUGCCGGUCGGUAUAAAACUUUGAAUAGCAAUAGAGACAGGUUUGACGAAAAUUUCUUUUUGGUAACCAGGUUUAAUGAAUUUAAUACUCUAAUUAAUGCAACUUAUCCAUUUCAAUACAUCAACAACACCUAUAUGACGAAAAACACAAGAAAUGCAACACGUGUCGUGCCUCUUACGGUUAGCUUUAUUUAUAUUAUCUGUCUAUUCAAAUGGGUCUAAUGAUGCUUUAGUCCCUACUACUUCUUUCAUAAAUUUAAAAUGCUUUUGAAAAGUGUGGUUUGUUAAUUUCAAGUGUUCUUUAUUACUGUAAAAAAUUACUGUGAGAAGUUAAAACGUUGAAUUUAGACAUGAUAUUACAAAAUAAAUUUUAUUUAAUUUAAAUAAUUUGAUAUUUUGAAACAUAAAAUAUAAAUUUUAAAUAUUUUUAAGAUUCUAUAUUAUUAAUAAAACUCUAUAUUAGAAAAUGACUAAUAUACUCUUUUAUCAAAUGAUUAUUACUAUUAUUUUGGUGGUCAUUUUGUCUUUUCAUACUUUUAUAUAGUUUUUAAAUAAAAGAAAUAAAAUUAACAUAUCUAAAGACUGAACUCAUAGUCAAUGGAUUUAUAAACAAAUUCUUUACCAUUACAAUAAUAAUUCUUGAGUAAGCUGAAAAAAAAAAAACUUUUAACAUAAACUGUUUUCUCUUAUCAAAUUUGUGUUUAUAGAUAAUAUCACCGAUUAAGUUGGUGUCACAAGUCAACUCAUACUAACUCACAAUUGAUGACAACACCAUAAUAAACAAUUGUAGUGCAUUUAAUAGUGUUAAUAUAAUAUAUUUAAGUGUUAAAAUUCUGUUUUACUCAAAAUUUAAUCUAUUUUUUUAUUUUAAUAUCAUAUAUAUUUCAUGUGUUCUUAUGAUUAGUUUGUUUAUUUGUGUACUAAAUUUGUGGUUUCUACAUGCAUACGCGUGUGAUAGAAUUUCUAGUUAAUAUAAAUUAUUUGUAAAAUUAAUGAUAAAAAUAUUACAAAAAUUUAAAUAUAAUUAAAAUGAUAUUUAAAUAAUUUAACAUAAUUAUAAACUAUAGUUAAAUAACUUUUUUAUUGAAUAGUUAAAUAAUUUAAUAUAAUAAUAGAUGAUAUUUAAAUAAUUUAAUAUAAUGAAACAUAAAAUAUAAAUUAAUCUAAAUAUUUAAGUGCAUUUUAAAUAGUUAAUAUAAAUAAGAAUAUUUUGAUAUUUUUACUUCAAAACGCAAAAGUCAAAAACUACUUAAAUGCAAACUUUUGCAUUUGGGUGAAAAUACAUCUUUUUGCCGUAGUUAUAACCCUAAAGUCAUGAUAAUUGUUAAAUUCGUUAAAUUAAUUUUCAAAAUUUGAUGCGUCAAAUAUAUUAUCAUAUGUGUAAUAUUAUUUCAGCCUGUUAUUUUCACAUAUUACUUAUUAAAAUUUCAAUUAAUGAAUUAACGAUUGUCAUUUGCAUAAAGAUUGAAAUUUCAAAAUUUGAGACCUAAAAUGAUCCAAUUGAAAAAUAUGAGCUAAAUCUACAAUUGUACGUAUAAUGUUGGACUAGUAAUUGAAUCUAACCUAACGGGUCUAACGGAAACUGUUUGGGUCAGGGCUAAAUUUUCAAAAUUUGAAAAGUACAUGGACUAAAAUUAACCAAUUCAAGAAGUACGGAGACUAAAAUUGAUCAAAUUAAAAUAUAAGGACUAAAUCCACAACAUUUGAAAAGUAUAGAGACUAAUAAAGAGUUUAAUCUUAAAAUUUAAAAUCCUUUCAAAAUUCUAAUCCCCAAAUCUCAAACCUAAUUUUAAUUUAUUUAGAAACUUAAAGCUAAAAAACCAUACCCAGUCGGAGUUCUAAUCCAAUCCAUUUAAAAAUGAAACCUAAGCUGCUUCUGUUAGUACAACAGAACGAAGACAAGUAGAUGAUGAAACAUCUGUGAUAAAAAUUGUGUUGUAAAUGUACAUAUAUAUAUUGGUUCUAUUUCACUUGAGUGGUCCGAAUGCUACUGAUCCCUAAAAGUGCUUUGUUGCAUGCGGGAAUGUACAUAUAUAUAUUGAAGAUAGAGAUAGGAGCCAAACAAAUGGUUGUAUACAUUACAAAUGGUGUUAUUUUAAUUUGUUGUUAUGGUCGGAGUGCUAGUGGUCCCUAAAAGUGUUAUAUUGCAUAGUGGAGUUGUUAUAAAGUUGUUUAUUGAAGUGGACUUAAAAAAGGAUGUGAUCAUACAUAUGGUAGGUGAUAUGCUUGUAAGCUUGAAAUAGGUUUUUAUUUUUUAUUUUUUUUGUGAAACAAAAAAAUUAAACAAAGAUUACAUCAUAUUCAUUUGAUCAAUUGCUCCUCUAGCUUUAUCUUGAAUGAGAAUUUUUGAGGAAGCAUGAGGACACUCGUCAUAAACUUGGAGACCUAUCCUGUAACACCCCUUACCCGUAUCCGACACCGGAAUAGAGUACGAGGCAUUACUAAAACACAUACACUUGUAAACGUAUUUAACCGAGUUAUAAAAUUUCAUCUAAAUUAAAACUUUCAAAAUAAUUAACAUGCUUCUAUAACUUUUCACAAUAUAUCCUCAAAAUAUUAUAAUCAUAAUAAUUAGGGCCUACGAGACCCGAUACAUACUCAUGCAAUUCAAUGUUUCAUUUCCAUUCCAUUCAAUUUGCAAUUUCUCAUGCUCACAAUUUAAAUCAUAUCACUAGCAAUUUCCAUUUAAUUCACAUACAACUCAAUGACAUUAAGUUCAACACUAAUACAUACUUACCAUUUAACUCAACGUUUAUCGAUUAUACCAUUCAAUAACACAUUUAUGAAAUUCUCAAUUUUGCAAUGAAAAUGUCACUUUAAAAUAACAACAUCAUCCUGGUAUAAAUACACUACCACUUAACCAUUUACUUUAAUUCUUUUGAGCCCAUUUGUCACUUACCAUCCUUAAUCAAAUUAGGGAACGGUUACGGAAAAUUGAGUACUUCACUUCCACUUUGUCAUAGUAUAACUAUGGUCUUACGUAUGAUCACUUAUCACUUGUCCCUAAUCAGAUAAGUGUAGCUAGGCUACCACUUAUCACUUUGUCACUUGAUCAGAUAAGUGUAGCUAAAGCUACCACUUAUCACUUUGUCACUUGAUCAGAUAAGUGUAGCUAGGCUACCACUUAUCACUUUGUCACUUGAUCAGAUAAGUGUAGCUAAAGCUACCACUUAUCACUUUCUCACUUGAUCAGAUAAGUGUAGCUAAAGCUAUCACUUAUCACUUUGUCACUUGAUCAGAUAAGUGUAGCUAAAGCUACCACUUAUCACUUUGUCACUUGAUCAGAUAAGUGUAGCUAGGCUACCACUUAUCACUUUGUCACUUGAUCAGAUAAGUGUAGCUAAAGCUACCACUUAUCACUUUCUCACUUGAUCAGAUAAGUGUAGCUAAAGCUAGCACUUAUCACUUUGUCACUUGAUCAGAUAAGUGUAGCUAAAUCUACCACUUAUCACUUUGUCACUUGAUCAGAUAAGUGUAGCUAAAGCUACCACUUAUCACUUUGUCUCUUGAUCAGAUAAGUGUAGCUAAAGCUACCACUUAUCACUUUGUCACUGAUCAGAAGUACUCAAAUCUGGCGUUCCGCUCAAUUUGAUCAUUUAUUCAGUUUUCGCAUUUUUAUUUUAUUCUCAUUUCAACAAUAAAUAUAUCUCAUCAUACAUUAUACAAUUCAUGAAAUUAACAUUUAAUCAUUAAUUUUCAGCCAUAUGAACUUACUAUUUCAUUACCUUUCCACACUCGUUUCCUAUGCACAUCACACAAGAUAUAAACAUAUCAUUCAAUCAUAGUCGCAAACUAGUACAUUGAAANNNNNNNNNNNNNNNNNNNNNNNNNNNNNNNNNNNNNNNNNNNNNNNNNNNNNNNNNNNNNNNNNNNNNNNNNNNNNNNNNNNNNNNNNNNNNNNNNNNNAAUCACAUAAUAAACCAUUUCACUAAAGAUUUCAUAAUUUAAACCUUACAACCCCUUUCAUGAUCACAAUAUUUAUUCAUAUAUCAAACUUUCCAACAUGUGUUAAUUCAAUACCCAUUCACGACAUUACUUCAUGCCAAAUCAUAUACCAAAAAUACAAUACACACGUACUAUAAACUUUAUUUUCCCACAUGAGCUUAAACCAUGACCAAUACUGCACAAAUAUAUGCAUCAUUUCUAUUUCAUUGUUUAUCAAUUAUAAUUAAGCAUAUGACCAAUUAUACACAAAUCAUUCAUAUAUUUCCCAAUUUUUCCUCCUCCUCCUCUCCAUUCCACAUCCUUAAUGUGUAUAACACACUUAAACAAUACUAGCUAUAAUUUCACUAUUCACUCACAUGUAUAUUCAAAGUUGUUUAUCCAAGUCAUAGUCACUAAAUUAUUUUUAUUUGGAGAUACAGAGCUCCAAAUUAAGAUCCGUUAAUUUUCCCUGAAACUAGACUCACACACCUUCUUACCAUAAAAUUUUCAGAAUUUUUGGUUCAGCCAAAUAGUACAGUUUAUUCUUUAAAGUUUCCCCUGUUUCGCUGUCUGACAGUUCCGACCACUCUUCACUUAAAAUGAAUUAUCUAAUUGUACAAAAUUCAGAUGAUGUUUCCAUUUAUUUCCUUUGAAAAUAGACUAAUUAAUUAUUCUAAUCAUAUAAAUUAUAACUCAUAAUUAUUUUUCUUCAAUUUUUGAUGAUUUUCCAAAUUCAGAACAGGGGAACCCGAAAUCAUUCUGACAUUGUCUCACAAAAUUUAUUAUAUCUCAUGAUUUACAAUUCCAUUGCUUACACCAUUUCUUCUAUGAGAAACUAGACUCAAUGAGAUUUAAUUUCAUAUUUGAUUCACCCUCUAAUUCAAUUCCCACAAUUUUUAGUGAUUUUUAAAAGUUAUACUACUGCUGCUAUCCAAAACUGCUUUAGUGCAAAAUGUUGAUUUCCUUUUUGCCCCAAAUUUCACAGUUUAUACAAUUCGGUCAUUUCUCAAUUAACCCCUCAAUUAAUUUAAUUUUAUCAAUUAAUACUUUACCUAGACAUUAUAAGUUGUUUCACAACUAUUGAAAUUCAGAAUUUCCACAUAUAACUCUAUCUUCAAACUCUUUUACUAUUAGGUCCCAAACAUUCACUUUCUAUUCAAUUCUUUCAAUAAAAUCAGCAUAUGAACAAUUUAAAGCUCUAAUUCCAUGCUAAAUCAUCAUAUACUUCCAGCAUGUAUUCAUAGCAACUUUCAACUUUUUUCAUAGAAUCAAAAAUUGAUGAAUACAAUAAGUGGGCCUAGUUGUAAAAGUCACAAAAACACAAAAUUUUCAAGAAAUAAUCAAGAAUUGAACUUACCUNNNNNNNNNNNNNNNNNNNNNNNNNNNNNNNNNNNNNNNNNNNNNNNNNNNNNNNNNNNNNNNNNNNNNNNNNNNNNNNNNNNNNNNNNNNNNNNNNNNNAAUCUAGAUAAUUCCACUUUGGUCCUAACUUUAUUAAGUAAAUUUUGCAAUAUUCCAAUUUUGCCCUUAAUUCUCCUUACUUUGUUGCUGAUUUCAUGCCUUUGCCGUCCAGCCCAAAUAGACCUUGGGUCUAUUUUCCUUUUAAGCCCUCUUCCUUUUAUCAUUUAAGCUAUUUAAUCAUUUCCCAUAAUUUUGCAUUUGUUACAAUUUAGUUCUUUUUAUUCAAUUAAUUAUCGGAACUUUAAAAUUUCCUAACGAAACUUUAAUACUAACUUUUUAACACUACAUAAAUAUUUAUAAAAAUAUUUAUGGCUCGGUUUAAAAUCCCCAAGGUCUCGAUACCUCAUUUUCGAUUCUAAUUAUUUUAAUAUUUAUUUCUAGUGUACUAUUCACUAUUUCAAAAAAUUUCCUAACUUUACAUUUAACUUAUACUCACUAAAUUAAUAAUAUUUUCUACUCAUUUUUCAAAUUUAGUGAUCUCGAAUCACCGUUUCGACACCUCUGAAAAUUCAGGCCAUUACAUUUUUCCUCGUCGGAUUUGUGGUCCCAAAACCACUGUUCCGACUAGACCCAAAAUCGGGCUGUUACAUAUCUUCCCUUCUGAGCUCAAUUUAGCCAAGUAGUCCUCAAUAUGGUUGUCUUCUCUAGGAACAUGUCGAAUCCCUUCCGUGUUCAUUAUCUUUUGGACUCUCUUGAGAAUUAUAAUGCUCAAGUCUCCCAAUAAAUUAUCCUAUAAAGUUUGGACUACUUCCAAAUUAUUUGUGUGAAUCACAACUCUAUUAAAACCAUUACUAAGCGACGUAAUCAUGCCAUUCAAAAUACCUCAAAGAUGUUGCACUUUCCGAGAAAAUGUUAAAGCUGAAAAUCUAAUUCCUAUUUUGAUCUAGCAAUACUACACCAGCAGGCGCUGCUCUAGACCCUUGAUCAACUUCUCCAUCAAUGAACAAGUGUAUCCAAUUCUCUAACAAGGUGCUCAGAGGAUUAGAGAUAUGGACAUUUGACUUAUCUCCAUAAUGAUUCCACUCAUACUAUUGUGUCCAUGAAUAGGAAAUUUAACAAUCUCAAGGACACUCCAAGAGAUGCCUUAGAAAAUAAAAAGGUUUUUAAUCUUCCAUAUGCGCCAAGCAAUUAAUCUGAAAAGACAGGACCAAGCUAUCUCUUUUCUAGUCACUUUUGUGAAACAACAAAGAUUGGAGUUUAGCCAAGUUUGUAAAUUCACGGAAAAAAAGUUGUCAUGUUGGUUAUUUGGAAGGACUUGCCUCCACACCUCCUUUGUUGUUGAACAAUCAUGUAACACAUACAGAAUAUCCUUUGUAUCAUGACUACAAAGUGGGUAAGAACUGUUGCUCCCAACUCCACGCUGAGCACGUUUCAUGUUAGUGAGUAGUCUUUGUUUAAAAGUAAGCCAAAUAAAAAAGCCUGACUCUCUAUGGUCCUUGAAACUUCCACGUAACUUUCCAGAACUCAUCUGUGGGGUUCUAAGAAUUUUCUUUUAAAUACCAAAAGGCGUUUUUGAUAGAAAAGGAUCCCGCCUUUAAACGUGCCCAAAUAAUCCUAUUUGGCCUAGAUAAAGGAUGGGGGGAAUACUUACAAUACGCCUAACAAUAUUCUCUGACAGCCAAAGUCAAAAGAGAUCCAAGUUCCAAGAUCCAUCUUGCAACACCAUCUCACUCAGGGAGCAAUCUGAAAAGAGAUUGGCAUGGGCAGAAAUAUCUUAGUUUUAAUUUUUAUAAGCAUGUUAAAUAAUUUGGUUUGGUGUGUUAGGUAAGUGCCUUAAAAGUUUGUUUUAGGUUCUGAGUUCAAUUCCCUCAUUUUGAAUUUUCAUAUUUAUUUUAGAUUUAUGUUAACCUUGAGCUUUAGGGAUUAUUAUUUAUUUCUUGUUGGGUUGUGACAAGAAUCAGCUUGUUGGUUCAGUGGUAAGGUGUUAGCUUACCUUUGAUUUUUGUGUUUGGAUCCCACGUUGCGCGAGUUGGAAUAUUUUUGGCUCCUUGCCUUGGAGGGUUGUUGAGUUUAAUGCAAAUUCUAUUUAAUUUCUACACAAAAUUUCCUAUUUUCCCUCAAUUUGAUAACCGUUCACUUCUCUCUAUCUUGAUUUCACGUUUUUUUUCCUUUCUCAUCAUAUUUUCCCCAUUUUCUUCUUUUCUUUUCUUUCAUUUUUCUUGUGACAUUCUUUUGUUCUUCUUGGUUUAUUUCUUGCUCGUUACCUUUGGUUUAUUUUGGGACUACGUUGAUUGCCUGUUGUGAUUUUAGUUCAUCAAUAGUGUAAGUUUUGGUUGUUAUUUUCUGCUACUCCUAGUUGUAUUUUGUUUGUGGUUCGAGAUUUCGUUUGUGUUUUAGCCCAUUCUAUUAUAUGUUAAAUGUUCCUAUGAUUGUUGGUUAGACAAAGGGUUGGAAGAUCGAAUACCUCUAGCGGAGUAGUCUCGCUUCGGAUGCUGUUCUUCGAGUGGUAGGAACUCGAUUUUGGUUUUGGGGACUAAAAUUUUGAUAAGUGUAUGCUAUUUUUGGAUAGAUUUUUUUAUGGUUAAUUAGUAUAAUUUACCAAACGAAUAUAGGUUUCGUGAGUUUCAGACGUGUGGUUUAUCAUAUCAACAAUCAGGUGUGUGAAACUAACUUGAAUUAGCACUUGAAACUCAAGAAAAUUGCAAAAUAAGAGCUAUUUUUAAACUACCUAGCGCCACACGGCUGUGUGCGCCACACGACUGUGUGCGCCACACGACUGUGUGGUUGGCCGUGUGCCAGACCAUAUACGCCCCAUGGCUGUGUGGUUAGCCGUGUGUGAUUGUGGUAGGCCGUGUGAUAGACCGUGUGCCAGGCAGUGUGGAGCACACGGUCGUGUGUGAUUUUUUAACCCAUGUUGGUAGGCCAUGUAGAUCACACUAGCUAACUCUUUGCGCCGUGUGGGCCUUUUGGGCCAAUUUUAAGGACCAUUUAGGGGGCGAAUAAGGAACUCGAAAAUAGGGUCCGUAGGUAUAAUAUAGGCCCGAAAAGGAGUAAGUUUUAGUUCGUAAAUACACAAGGGUAAGCUUAGAAAAAAAAAUGUUGAGUAAGUUUGGUUGUGUAAAAAAACCUAUAUGCUACACUAUGAUCUCUUAAGAAAACAUGUGUGUAUGCAUAUCGUAGGACUUAUGGUAUAAGUAUGUGUUUACGAUUUUAUGAUUAUGCUUAUGUUUUGGGGCUGGAUAUGAUAUGAUGGAAGAAGUGCUUUAUGGCAGUUUUUAUUGCAACUAUGGCGACUAGAUGACAAGAUUCUUGUCUGGCAGCUCAGUUGCAUGUUUAUGAGUGGCAUACCACUACAUAUUGGUAUGAUUGGAUGGAUGGGCUCCUGUAGUCCUAAUUGGUGUGAUUGGUUGGACGAAGAUGGUAUGUAGCGGAUGGGGUAGGAUAUGAUCUGAUAUGUUAUGGUAUAAUAUGAGAUAUGAUAUGUUAUGGUAUAAUAUGAGAUAUGGUACAACAUGAUAUGAAAUAUGAUUUGAUAAGAUACGUAUAAGAUAUGCUCUAAUUUGAAAUCUGUUAUGCUAUUUUGUACUCUGAUAUUUGUAUAUAUUUACCACGUUUUGUGGGCCAAAUCACACACCAGGUGUUAAGCUUAAGUGUUUGUUUUUUUGUUUCAGGUGAACCUCAGACUUAGGAUUGGACGGCGACAUUGGAGCUCGAUUUUCACGCUUUUGGGUUUAGUAUGUUACGAACUUUCAUUUUUAUGGACUUUUUCGGACUUUGGACAUUUUAAUUUUGUUGGGGACAUUAGAAUUUAUUUUGGUAAUUUUUUUGUUAAAGUUUUGGUUUUUAAUUACUGUUUAAAACAAGAUGACUAACAAUAUUCUAAAGGUAAACAAGACCAAUUUGCUAUAAUGUGUCUGCUGCCAAAUUUUGUCGAAAAAUCACUAGAAUGUUUUAUCUCACAAAUGAUUUAAGUAAAAUGGAUUUUUUUAAGUAAAACUAUUUAACAUGGUUUUCCUUAAAGUACUCGCGAGUUAUCGGGAAUUGAUGCAUUUUUAAAGAUUUAUUCAAAUCAGCUUUCUUUACGCUGAUAGUGGGUUUUCAUCAAAAUUUAAGGUUAGUGUUUUCACGUACGAUAUAACCUCCACAAUCUGACUGUAAUGCCUAGGAUGGUUUUGGGGUGUUAAUUUGGUGGUAUUAAAGCCAGUUUUCAAAACUCGGCCUGUGCAUUUUAGGUCCAAAAUGUUUAAGAAAUAAACUGUUGUUUUAAAUUGGAAUGUUACUAAAAUGACCCUUGAAUUUUUGGAAAGUGAAACUAAGACUUUAGCGUCGAUCCAAGUAAGACUCUGAACUUUAGAUAUGCUUUAGAUAUACUUGUAGAUGUGGUACUUUAGUAUAAGUAGUUGCCUUUAGAGAUUGUAAUGCAAUAACACACUCUCUAAAUACUGCUAAGUACUUUCGAUAAAAUUUUGAAAUAACAGUUUAAAACUUAAACUGAUGCAUAAAAUUUUGAAAUUGUAGAUAAGAUCAUGAAUACUCAUGGAUCCCGAGGAUGUGGUACCUGUGGGCGCGGUAGUUGCCGUCAGGGGGCUCGAGUCGAGUCAUCUUCAAUGGGCAGUAUACCUCAAUUGGAUAUGAGUAAAAUCGUAGGAACUCCGACUACUAGGACUUGGUCUAGGACUCAGACUGCCGGGGAUGAUGCACUGUCCUAGGAAAUUUUAAGGGUUUUGGAAGUGUUGCUGAGACCCAUACUGGAUCUAGGAACCUAGGAUCGGUAGCUGAACGACUCCAGUCCAAUGAAGCUAAACUGUUUAGGGGCGUUACUGGAAUCGCCCCGGCUAUGGCUAAAUAUUGGUUAUAGGCCACAGAAAAGAUAAUGAAUGGUUUAGAUUGCACCUCUGAGUAGAAACUGAAGGGUGCAGUAUCCUUGCUUCUCGAGGAGGCAUACAAGUGGUUGUUGAUGAUGGAGGAGGGCACUCAACCUAAGCAGUUGACAUGGGAUUACUUUCGGAGUGCCUUCUAAAGUAAGUAUGUGGGGGCAAGCUAUGUUGAGGCCCAUGGACGCAAGUUUGCGGGGCUAACUCAAGGGGAUAGAUCGGUGGUUGAGUAUGAGUCUAUAAUCUUGAUAUUGAGUAGGUAUGCUCGUGGUUUGGUGGCUACUGACUACGAUAAGAGUAUCCAUUUUGAGGAAGGUUUGAGGUAUGACCUUAGGGUUUUGAUAGCUCCCUAGAGAGAGCAGGUCUCUGCAGUCUUGGUUGACAAGAAAAAAAUUAUGGAAGAGGUUAAGCGCAUUAAGCGUGAGAAGAGGGAAAGGGAGAAGAAUCAUAAUAAGAACAAGAGGGAUUCGAGUCCUUUUAGUUCUUUUCAAUGGCCUGUGAAACAGGCCAAGUAUGAGAGGCCUCCAUAGGCAGAGCGAGUUGCUAGAGUUGAGCCUGUUGUUAGAGUUGAGUAGGUACCGAUUUGUGGAUUCUGUAAUAGAAGCCAUCCGAGGUGAGUGUUGGAGGAGGAUUAGGGCAUGUUAUAUAUAUGGGUAUACUGAAUAUAAGAUUGGCAAGUUCCCCCAUAUGGUUGAGCCGGUGAAGGCUCCGAUUUAAGGUCAAGUUCAGCCUGAAAGGGUUGUACAGUAGCCUACUAGGGGACGUAGUCAGAUGAGAGGGGGUAAUGGUGUUGAACGGGGUCAGAGAGCACCGAGCAAAGGUGCGGGUCAGGUUAAGGCUAGGCAGCUAGCCGUAUUUUAUACGGUGAGGUGCCGUGAGGACAGGGAUACGGUUGAUGUGAUUACCAAUAUGUUCGCUAUACACUCUUUAUCCUAUUUUGCAUUAAUUGAUUGUGAUUCUACAUACUCUUAUAUAUCUAGUAGCGUAUCAGGAAAUCUGGGGAUUUUGGUUGAGGACACUAGUUGUGAGCUUUUUGUGAUUAGUCCUUUGGGCCAGCUUGUCCGAGUCAAUAAAGUGUAUAGGAGGUGUCUACUUAAGGUUUAAAGGUUUGUAUUUCCGGUAGAUUUGAUGGAGUUUUCAUUUGGGGAGUUUGACCUGAUUUUGGGUAUGGAUUGGUUGGUGGAGCAUCGAGUUGGAUUAGAUUGUGAAUCUAAGAGAGUGACUUUUAAGGUUGGAGAUGAUGUGGAAGUUGUAAUGGUUGGCAAGCGUAGAGAUUACCUCUCUAAUGUAAUAUUCAGUCUUGUAGCUGAAAAGCUAAUUUGUAAGGGUUGUGAUGCAUAUGUGGCAUAUUUGCAUGAUACGAGUAAUGUGGAUUUGACUGUGGAAGGGGUACGUACUGUUAAGGACUACAUUAUUUCAAAUAUCAUUUACGUACUCAUUAAUUCCUAUUCACAUGGCAAACCUUAGAUCAUUAAUACAACAACCAUUUAAUUUGUGAUCCUUUUUUAUUUUUUCAUUGUUUAGAGGGUGCCAUGGUAUCUUUCAAAUAGGGUCUUACACAAUCCUGAAGUGGUGCCAAGUAUCUUUCAACUAUGGUCUUGUUCAGUUUCCGAUAUAGUGUUGUAGUAUCUUUCAACUAGGGUCUUAUCUGUUCCGAUUUAAUGCCAUAAUAAUUUUCAAUUAUGCUCUUUCUCAUUUCGGUAUAAUGCCAUGACACCUUUCAACCAUGGUCUUUGUAAUUUUCUCAAGUCAACAAAUCUGAUCACCAAAUUUAUAAAUGUAUAUCAAAUUAUAACUAGCAACUAAAUAAAUUACUUUAAUUAAAUUACGAACUUACCUAAACAAAAACGGUUGCAGGAACAAGAUUGGCAACUAUUCUGUUACUUUAGCUUUCCCACGAUUCAAGUCCGCUUGGUUUGUUUCUUGAUCUAAAUAGUAAUUUCAUUCAAUUAAUACAAUUCUAGCACUUAAAUAAGCAUAUUUAUACAAUUAAAUCCUUCUAACAUCAUAUUACAAAUUUACCCCAACAUUUUACCUUUUAUGUAAUUAAAUCCCUAAAUUCAAAACUUACAAAUUAACAACAUUUGAUGGAAAAAUCAUGCUAGAUGAAUUAUACCUAGCCUUUAGUUAGCCCACUUUUAUCAAAAUUUCACAAAAAUUCCAUGAAGUUUUCUUAUUUUAACUAUUUAAUCCUUAACUAUCAAAAUCAAUAAAAAUUAUUAUACAAAAUAGUCUUUUUUAACAACCAAGCUUAAUAAUCUACCAUUAACCUAAAAAUCACUUCAAAUUCAUCAAUGACAUAAUCCAAAAUGUUUCACAAUUUUACAAAUUCGUCCUCGAGUUAGCUAGAUUAAGCUAAAAUAGACUCAAAAAUAUAAAAAUCACUAAAAACGGGUUCAAAAUACAUACCAUGCAACGUGAAAUGAAGCUUGAUCGAAACCUAGCUUAAGCAUCCAUGGUAGAAUCAAUUUUGACCAAAUGAAGAAGAUGAUGAUAGCGAUUCAUCUUCUUCUUUUAAUUAUUAAACUACCUUUUUAACCUUGAAAAUUAACUUUAAUUACAUGAAUUAUAAUAGUCCGUUUUUCAGUGGCGUUGAAAAUAGUGGUUUUGGGACCACAAAUUUGACAAGUGAGUUCGUAAAUAUUAUUAUUUAAUAUUUACGAGUCAAAUAAAUUAUUAUGCUUAAAUUUUGUUAAUUAAACGAAUAGUUAAGUACAAGUGGUUCAUCCCUAAAGUUAAGUGGUUUUGAAAAAUGACGUUUCAGGACCUCGUUUCUAUAAACCGAGCUCGUAAAUAUUUUUAUUAAAUAUUUAUGAAGUGAUUAUAUUGGUGUAUUGAAAUUUGGUCCAAAAAUUUUAACAUUUAGGUAGUUAAUUUAGUAAAAAGGAUUAAAUCCUAAAAAUAUAAAAGUUAAUCGCUAUUAAUUUAUUUAUGCUUAAUAGCUAUAAAAUCAUGAAUUGAAGGUUUUAAAUGGUAAUUAGAUCAUAAUUUAAAUAAGUGGACGGUCAUGGCUUGUUAAUUAGUAAUUUUUAAUGGUUUUUAAAGGGUAAAAUAGUAAAUUAAUAAUUAAAACAAAAAUUAAUGAAAGAGAAACAUAUUUUCAUCUUCAUUAGUGGAUUUCCACAUAUUUUUAAAGGAAGAAAAUACCAUUUUUGGUAAGCUUGGCGGUUCGGCUAGCUAUCAUCCCUUGCAAGUAAGUUGGUUUUGAUUCCCUAUUUUGUAAUUUUUAUGUUUUUGAGAUCGUUGUAGCUUAAUCUAGCUAACCCGUGGACUAAUUCGUAAAAUUGUUAAAUUUUUAUAAUUUUUUCAUGGAUGAAUUUGUGAUUUUUCUGAAGUUUGGUGAUAGAUUAUUAAGCUUUAUAGUUAAAUAGGAUUAUUUUGUAAAGUUAUUUUGAUUAGUUUUUAGUUAAAGGAUUAAAUUGAUAUAAUAUUAAAUUAGGCAUGAAUUCUUUGUGAAAUUUUACUAAAUAUGGCCUAUUCUGGUAUAAUGGAAAAUUUGGCUAGCAUGAAAUUGGGGAAAUUGUUUUAGAUUUGAAAGUUUCGGGUUUAGGGACUAAAUUGUAUAAAAGGCAAAAGUUUAGGGUAAAAUCAUAAAUAUUAAUUAAAUGGGAAAUUACAUGAAUUUUAGUAUUUUAAAAGUAUUUGAACUGGAUAAUUGAAUUAAAUUAUUAUAUAAAUCAAGAAACAAAUUAUCUGAACACAAAUUGUAAAAAACGGAGUAAGGGGAAUAGUUGUCGACAUCGCGUUGGCAAUCAUUUUUUAUUAGGUAAGUUCAUAUAAUGACUAAGCUCAUUAAUUUCUAUUUUGGAUGAAUGGUUAAUUAAUGUCGUGCUUUGUAUAACUUUAAUUGAUUGUAAAUUUUUAACUAGUAAUUUGGACUAAAUCGUAAGUUAAUCAAAUUGAUGAUUAAUUGUGAAGAAUGUGAAUUUCAUGGAUGUAUAUUUGAAUAAUGGAAUGAAGUUAAAGGAUUGGAUAUGGAAUAUGUCCCGUUUGAACCUCAUGAAUACUUAGGAUACAAAUGACAUGUUAUUAGGGGUUAUUUACAGUUUCGAGUACUGGUCUUGGAUGUCCUACUGAUGGCUAAGGUCCUACAUUUAUUGCGGAUUCUCCACUGCUCAUGUGAGCAGCAUCGUGUAGCUUAACAUCCUGACCCACAACUCAUGUGAGCAGACCCAUUUCACAGCUCGUGUGAGCAUAUAUGGUUACAUGUUAUAGUCACAACUUGUGUAAACAUCUCCUGAGUCUCCGAUGGUAUUUCAUUUGGUUCAACAGGUGAUAAAGGCUGAAAUAAAUGUGUAUAUAUAUAUGAAAUGUCAUAUGAUCAAGACGUGUGAAUUGGAAGAUGUCGAUAUAAAUACUUGAAAUGGGAAUUUAUGUUUAUUGAACAUAUAAUGGAUGAAAUAUCUAUUGAAAUGUUUAUUAUAACAUGUUCCAUGAUUUUGUUGGAAUUAUAUGUUUCAUUGAUACUCCUACUAACCUUAUGAAGUUGUGUGCAUAGGAAUGAAAUGUAUGCAUAGGAUCUAAUGAAUGAAUUCAUGCUUGAAAGGUUUAAACAUAACAUGUUCGGUAAGAUUAAGUUCAAUUUAUACGAGCUUACUAAGCUAAUUGCUUAUGUUAGUUGUUUAUCUUUCUAUAGGUCAUCGGAAAGCUCAAUCAGCUUGAAUCAUGUCAGAGUACAUUCACACUAUCCAUCCUUCAUCUCGGUAGAAGUUUUGGUUAUUUUGAUGUCAGGUUAUAAAUGGCAUGUACUAGGAGCCUUAGGGUAUUAUUUUUUUAAAAUAAUGUUGUUCAUAAGUCAGUUUAAGUAAGCUUUGGGGUUGUAUUUAAAUGUUUGGUGCUUUUUGUUUAAGUUUGAGCUUUGAAGUGUAUUUAGUCAUUUGUUAAUUUCCUUAUGUGAUUAGCUUGGAAUAUGGUCAAUAGUUAUGAUGAAAUAGAGGAUUUGGUAUAUCUUUAAGGAAAUGUUUUGUAAGUAUUAAGAAUGUGUUUGUUUGAGUGUUUAAUUUGUGGUACCAAUGAGGGUACAUUGGAUAGGCAUUUAGGUUGAUUGAUACGUAUGUGUUUUGGCAUUUUUGGGCUUGUUUUGGUGUGUCUUGAAUAGGUUUAAUUGCUUGUAUAUGGUAUGCUUGUGGUCCAAGUAAACAUGUUUUGGUAAACUUGCAUUUGAAGGUACUUUUUGGGGCAUACGGCCUGAGACACGGCCGUGUGUCGCAACGGUCACUCUGCACUGCCGUGUGCCUUAUUGUUUUUAAGUGUAGGAUGGUCCACAUGAUCUUAGUAAGUUGCACGGUCUGGCGACACAGCUUUGUGACCUUACUUUGAAUGCGCAUAUGGCCUAGGACAUGGCAAUAUCCACACGAACAGACACGCGGGCUGGGACCCACAGACAGACACAUGGGCUUGGGCCAUGUUUUCGAGCCACACGGCUUGGGCUAUGUCACACAGCCGUGUGAUCCCUAUUUUCAAAAUUUUUUAAUUUUUGCAAUUUUUUUUUAUUUCAAAUUAGUCCUCGAAUGUUUUCAAACUAUUUUUAAGACCCCGUAGGCUCGAUUUAAGGUUUGUAAUUGUGGUUAUGCUUUGUAUAUAGAUCGAGAUUGAAUGUUAUUAUAUUAAAUCAAUUAAUUGAUGUUAUGUGAAGUUAAUUGUUAUUUUUUGUACGAUAAUCCUCUGUAACCUUAAUCUGGUGACAGAAACGGGUUAGAAGUGUUACAUCUAAUGGUAUCAAAGCUACGAUUUAGUUGACUCUCGAACUGAACGUAGCAUGCAUAGUUAUAAGAUCUAGAAAUACAUUUCAUUUUAUAACCCGUAAUAUGGUGAUGCCAGACAACCGAACUAUUUCCAAUAAAGUAGAGAGUAAUGUUCAAGCCUCGAUGCAUGAGGUUGUUCAUAGUACGCCUAUUUCUAUGGGCCAGGAAAGUGAGACUUGUGGAGCCUUCUUCCAUAUGAUAUUAGAAUAAUUUAUCAACUUUAUGAGAGUCAAUUGUGUGGCUCAACAAUCUCCACCCCAUCAUCCUCAAGGCCUUAUAUGACUUAAUACUCAUAGAAUUCCUAUUAAUAAAGUUCGAAAAUGUAGAGUCGAAGAGUUUUGCGGUAAAGUGAAGGAUGAUCCAAUUAGAGCUGGGUAUUGAUUAGAAAACACAUAGAGGGUUCUGGAUGAAACUUUGUGUUCUUCUAAAGAUUAUUUGAGGUGUGUUGUGUUACUGUAAGAAAAAAAUGAGGCUUCUCCCUGGUAGUCGACUUUAACUACUGUAGCAUCGAAAGAAUGAGUUAACUGGGAUUUUUUUCGAAUUGAAGUUUGAAAAAAAAUGUCUGCAAACGAUAUUUAGACAAGAAGAAAAUGGAGUUUCUUGAAUGGAAGCUAGGAAAUUGAUCAGUUGUGGAGUAAAAUCGAAAGUUUGUUUAGCUCAGUAAAUAUGUUUAUAAUAUUAUGCCGAUUGAGAAGGAAUUGUGUAUUCGUUUUAGUGAUGGAUUCAACAAUGAGAUUAAAAUUCUUGUGAGUGCAAUGGAAUUUCAUGAGUUCGUAAUUUUAUAUACAAGAUAAACAUUAAAUUUAAUUUAAUAUUAAAAUAAUCACUUUAAUUUUAAAUGAAUAAAAUACUAUUAAAAUAAGUAUUAAAAUAAAUUUAAUAUUAAACUAUAAAAAAAUAUUAUUUUUGGAAUAGUUAAUUUGAAAUCAAAUUCUCUGAUAAAGUCCCAGUAGGAGUGUAUCUCUUCCAUUGCUCAACCAUCGAAGACCAACUGCCAUCGGCACCGCCGUGUUUGGUGAUGCAGGUGCGACAUCCUUAUGACAUCUCGAGCCAGUUCGGCUAUUGCCAUUUCAAUCCGGGUCAGUGACGACCUGGCCAGUCUGGUCUAGCUACCGAUUGGACUCUCGGCCCGGUUUCACAUGCCAAUCCUUAUUCGACCAGUUUUUUGUCUUAAUCUCAGUUUUGGGCUCCCGAGCCCAAUUUACGAUAUCAGGUCCAAUUUUCAAGUUUAAUUACCCAUUGGGCUAAUUGUCUGACUUGAAAAUUAAUUUCUAAAAAUAUCAUAUUAAUUUUAAUUAAUUUGAGUAAUUUAAUUUUACUAGAUCAAAAUUAAUUUUCUAAAAAAUCACUUAGAUUUUUCAAAUUAAAUUUUCAAGAAAAUUCUUUAAUUAAAUUCUCUAGUUGAACAAUUCUCACGACCACCUAAUUUAAUUCCACAUUGAAUAAAUUGACUCAAUUAAAUUAUUUCCAAAGUCGUAAAUUUUCUUUUGAUUCAAAUGUAGUCUGAUCGAGUUUUUCUUGAGGUAGCGGAGGGACCAAUCGGACAUAUACAGUUAGGCUUUAGUAAUUGCAAUUAUGUCCAAAAGCGUCAUUUCGAUAAUUCGCAAUUACUUAAUCAUUGAAUCAAUCAACAAGAAGUACCAUGAUUGAAAACUCCUUAUUAUAUACUUUUUACAAAAACAAUUCAUCCAACUGUUUUAUCCAAUGACCUCGUCAUGUGUGAUUCCUUUGAGUUAAAUCCGUUCACUCAAUACAAUAUUAUUUUAUUUCAUUGUCACCAUUGUGUCUUCUUAAUAAUUAAUAUGAUCAUUGUCAACAAAUGACUAUGAUAAGUUACUUGUUCGAGAAUAAGCAACGAGUAGCCACAUUCCAUAUUUAUCAAUCCACACAAUGCCAAUGAGAGGAUGUCAUUAACUCUUUAAUUGAGCUAUGAAUAUCACUGUUGCUAGUAAAAUCAUGCCAUACACAAGUCAUGCACCCAACACACUUACUAUAGGCUCAAUCAUCUUUAGAGCAUAAGUCUCCAUUUAUAUCAAAUCACAUGAGUUGCUUACGUGUGGUCAGUGACUAACUCAGGAUUUAGGUAAAUCACACCAUGAACAUCACAAGUGAAUUAAUUCACAAAUGGAUUCAAAAUUAAUUCAUCUUGGGUCCAAUCCAAUGUCUCUACUCGUGGGGUCAAUUGCUUUGAUAGCCAAGACUAAUCAUCUCCCCAAUUGGAAUUAUAGAUGACAUAAUAAUCUUUCGCAAUAUUUGAAUCAAUUGCUCACUUCGAUUCUUAUACGAGAUUACAAACUUAUUUAGAUUAUCUACUAAAGUAAGUUGUCUUUCUCACAAUGUAAACGCUCUUACAAUGCCACUUAUCUUCAGUUUGGACUUAGACAAUCAAUGUGCUAUUAUUUGCUUGUCACAAUUUUGCUAUGCAUACAAAAUAUAAAAGACAGAAAUGCAAAAGACAAAAUAGUGAAAUAUGAAAUUAACUUUAUUUAUUUAUUCAUCGUUUAAAUAAAUAGAAUACAAUUAAAUGUUUACUACAAUAUGGGCACAUUUCCCAAUAAUUUGAACAUAAGACAGAAUGUAAGACUUAUUGUUACUUUUGCGAGAGACAGACAACUAGGAAUUUGAGACACAACUAGAGUCAUAGAAGCGAAACAAAAAACAUAGAGAUUCGAUCUAAAGCUUGAGUUCUCGCCAAAGUUAUGUGAUCCGAGCGCACGUGGAGGCCUCAGCUCUUGAUGUUAUUGAUGGUACCUUUCCUACCUUUGAUGUUACAACAUGUGCAUUAAUUGACUCUGGGUUGAGACACAUUUAAAUGUGCAAUAUUUUAGUAAUAGAAAAGAGUUUACCGAUUGUGUCACCUGAAUAUGUUGUUAAAGUAACAAACCCUUUAGUGUAAAAUGUCAUAGUUGAUUUGGUUUCGAAACAAUGUCCAUUGAAAAUUCAAGGCUAUGACGUUACUGCUAAUUUGAUGUUACUGUAACUUAACGAAUUUGACAUUAUCCUAGGAAUGGAUUGAGUAACUAUUCACGAUGCUAUAGUGAAUUGUUGACGAAAAUAGAUUGAUUUGAGAUGCCAGAAUGGUGAAUUAAUCCUAUUGAAUUUGCUAACUCUGAUUGUGUUUUGAAAAUAAUUUAGCGAUAUGUGUAUAGAAAUUGAUCCGAAAAAGGGAAGAGAUGCAUUUUUAUUUGCAUGUUCUGGAUUCCAGAGUAUCAAAAAUGAAAGUUGAGUAGGUACUAAUAAUUUGCGAGUUUACAGAUGUUUUUCCUGAGGAAUUCUCGGGUAUACUAUUAGAGCGAGAAGUCGAAUUUGCUAUAGAAUUAGUGUUAGAGACUGCUUCGAUUUUGAUUGCUCCGUGUAGAAUGACUUCAAUGAAAUUAAAAGAAUUAAGAGCUCAGUUGUAAAAGUUAUUUGACAAAGGUUUUAUUCAACUGGGUAUAUCACUUUGAUGCGCACUUAUUCUAUUUGUGAAAAAGAAAUAUGGGUUGAUGAGGUUGUGUAUAGGUUAUCGAUAGUUGAAUAAAGUUAUGAUAAAGAAUAAAUAUCUAUUGCUUCAUAUUGAUGGUUUAUUCAAGCAAGUAAAUAGUGCGAUAGUAUUUUCAAAUAUUGAUAUUAGAUUUGAUUAUUAUCAGUGGUGAAUUAAAGAUGUUGAUGCAUUGAAAACAGUAUUCAGAGCCGUUACGGACACUGCGAGUUCCUAGUUAUGUCUUUCGGAUUAACUAAUGCCCCUGUAGCAUUUAUGAAGCUAUUAUAGGAAAAUGUUGAAUUUUUUUAGUCAGAUAAGGACAAGCGAAGUUUUGGUCAGUAAAAAGAAUUGUUGAUGGAAGCUCCGAUAUUAGUUUAGCCUAAGUCUAAGAAAGAAUUAUUAUUUACAGUAAUGUUUCACUCAUAUGAUCUUGAAUUAUGCUAGUUUGAUUAUUACAGACUCGUAAGUUAAAUCAUUAGUUCUUCAAAGAAUUUGUAAGAUGCAAUGAAAAGACUCGAAUGUGUUAGUUAAAGAAAAGUAGAUUGAAAAUGAUCAGAUCACUAAUUUUAGUGUGGAUUGUGAUAAUAAUCUAUAUUUCCUAAAUCGAGUAUAUGUGUUAAACAAUUCAUAGAUUUUUCUAGAUAUCUUAUAAUAGGCUUAUAACAGUGUUUAUUUGAUUUACUUAGGUAGCGGCAAAAUGUGUAAUGACUUAGGAAAGAGUUACUAAUGGGCGAGAGUAAAAUGAGAAAUUUUAGAGCUUGUACCAAGAUGUUUGGUAUGUUAAUAAGUCAAAGCUGAAUAUCAAAUUUUAUAUGAAUUAUUACAGCUUGUUAUGAUUUCUAAAUGGGAAUGAGAGCGGGUCACGAUAAAUUUUGUAUCUGGACUACCUUUAACGAUGUUAAAGAAUGACAUGAUCUAAAUUGUUAUUAUCAUAUUGAUGAAAUCAGCUCACUUUAUUUCAGUUAGAAUAGAUUAAUCAUUUAAAAAUCUAAUGAAGUUGUAUGUAUCAAAGAAUAACAAAUUGCAUAGAAUGUUGUUGUAUAUCAUAUAUGAUUGAGAUCUGAUAUCACCUUUAGAUUUUGAAAUAAAAUUCACGAGGCUAUGAGUAUUAAACUUAACUUAAGUACAGCAUUCCAACCGCAGUCAAAAUGGGUAAUUUAAACUCUGAAAUUCAAAUUGCAAUGUUAUUUCAUCGAGAUCAAGGAUAAUUCGGGAAAGUAUUUUCUAUUGGAUGAGUUUGCUUAUAAUAACAGGUAACAGUCUACUAUUAAAAUGGUACCGUGUAAAGCUUUUAAGGACGAGAAUGUAAAAUCCCAUUAUACUAGUCAGAAUUGAGAGAGAACAAGCUAGAUAGGACAUAUUUGACUUGAAAGAUCGAAGAGUCUAUGAGUUUACAGUAACCAAACUUAUUCCAGGUAGGAAGUUUCAAAAACGAAAUUUUCCUGAAAGGAGAGUUAUAACAGCCCAUUUUUCAGUGGUGUCGAAAAUAGUGGUUUCGGGACCAUAAAUUCGACGAGUGAGUUCGUAAAUAUUAUUAUUUAAUAUUUACAAGUCAAAUAUAUUAUUAUGUUGGAUUUUGAUUUUAAAAUUUUUGUUAAUUGAACAAAUAGUUAAGUACAAGUGGUUCAUCCUUAAAGUCAAGUGGUUUUAGAAAAUGAGGUUUCGAGACCUCGUUUCUAUAAACUGAGCCCGAAAAUAUUAAGUAUUUAUAGAGUGAUUAUAUUGGUGUAUUGAAAUUUGGUUCAAUUAUUUUAACAUUUAGAUAGUUAAUUUAGUAAAAAUGAUUAAAUCGUAAAAAUUAUAAGAGUUAAUUGUUAUAAGUUUAUUUAUGCUUAAUAGUUAUAAAAUCAUGAAUUGAAGGUUUUAAAUGGUAAUUAGACCAUAUGAUAUAUAAGUGGACGGUCAAUAAACCACUGAAUGAUAUACUUUUUACGGAACUCCUCCUGAAAGAAGUCCCAAGUAACUCUCUCGCUCGGUACAACUGACACAAGAGUCUUCCACCAAUAAUAGGCCGAAUCUCUAAGGAGUGAGACAACACACUUCAUGCAUUCCUCAGGUGUACAGGAUAGCUCAUCAAAGACUUUGAUAGUAUUCUCGAGCCAAAAUUUUGCUCUCUCUGCAUCACCAUCUUUAGUAGCCCGAAACUCUUUAGCCCAUUGUUUUCUGAUCUUACCAACUGGUGGCCUUUCUCUUAUAACUGUACCUGUGACUGGGGGAGCUACAUGGGGGAUCGGAGAAUGAUGAGGGGGUGAGGUCUAACAGUCGGAUUCGUACAGAUGAACUCGGUAAACCAUUCAUUCAUAGCUUGGAAGAAGGCUUCUCGAGCUCCUCCUCCCUGACUAACUGUAAUGGGCCUUUCACUACUAUCUGGUGGCACCGUCCCUUCUACGGGAGUGGGCGCAUUACUCUCUACAUCAUUUACACCAGCUCGUUCGAGAUCUAUAACUAUAAAAGAAAACCAUUUUAAAAUCGUCAGGAGUCGUCACACUAUCAAAAUACAAGUAUGACAUGCAUAGCUAGACUCUUAUUCAUACUGAAUAUUCCGAGAACCGACUAAACUCCCACUCUGAUACCAAUAAAUGUAACACCCCUUAUACGAGACCGUUGCCAGAGUCGAGCACGAGGCGUUAUCUGACUUAACUUACAGUUCGGAGCAUAAAAAUUUUCUUUUAAAAUUAAUUCGCUCACGUUCAAUCAAUAUGUCCCUAAAAAGGGCCCUCGAGACCCUAAAACAUGCAACAAAAAUGGGUCGGGUCCAAGCCGAGAACAUUAAAAUUUUUUCGAAUACUUAAAUAAAUCAAAAUAAUUUAUUUCACUAUACAUAAUAAAACUGUCCACUUGCGUGAUAGUCACUAAUUUAAUUAUAACUUGAGAUACGAAACUCAAAAUUUAGAUUCGUAUAUUUUUCCUAAAACUAGACUCAUAUAUCUUCUUAUCAUAAAAUUUCCAAAAUUUUUGGGUCAGCCAAAUAGUACAAUUAAUUCGUUAAAGCCUCCCAUUGUUUCACUGUCUGACGGUUCUGACCUCUAUUCACUAGAAAUCAAUUAUCUCAUUGUACAUGCUUCAUAUGGUGCUUCUGCUUAUUUCUAUUUAAAAUAUACUCGAUAAGCUUUAAUUCUAUAUCUCAUUCACUCUCUAAUUCCAUUUCUACUAUCCUUGGUGAUUUUUCAAAAUCACGUCAAUGCUGCUGUCCAAAAACUGUUCCAUUGCAAAUUUUUACUCUUUUAUAAUUUCUUUGUAUUAACUAUCAUUUAGGCAUACAUAACACCUAAACAUGUUCUUAAAUAGCCAUUUCAAUAGCUAAUCAUUAUCAAGUAUUUACAUGCUAUUCAUUAGCCAAAUCAUAAGGACACACACACAAAAUGACUAAGUCCCUAUACAUGCCAUAACUUAAAACGUUUCGAAUCACAAAAUAUCGAAAUGGUCAGUUGAUAGUGUGAAACAAUCUCCGACGCCCUUACGAUUUUCAAAUUGGCUUGGUGAUACUAUAAAAAGAAGGAAAAUAAAGGGGGUAAGCAUAAAGCUUAGUAAGUUUACAAGCAAAUAAAUAACAACAUUUAUCAUAAAUAAUUAUACUCAUAAAUUAUCAUUAAGUAUCAUGAUCUUUACUUUCUUCUUUACUUACUCUCUUACUUGUUUACUUACUUGCUUACUUAAAUAACUCAUGAUUAUAAGUUACUCCUCCCUUGCUGAAAUUUUUUUCUCAACUGAUAACUGAGAUAUUCUUAACCCUUAUAACUCACCUGAAUCUAUUUAUUAUACUUUUACCUAAACUUUCAUGUAACAUAGUCUAUUUACUAGCCCAUUGAACCACUUGGAAUACUAAGGAUACUCGAGUCUCCUAUCUGACAAUAACAUGCCAAAGCCAUGUCCCAGACAUGGUCUUACAUGGGAUAUUUCCUGUACUGCAAAUACCAUAUCCCAGAUAUGGUCUUACAUGAGAGUUCUCAUCUCGGUGCCCAUGCCAUGUCCCAGACAUGGUCAUACGGAGGACCUCUCAUAACCUCAAUAAUGCCAAUGCCAUGUCCUAGACAUGUUCUUACAUGGGGUCUCAUCCCCUAAUGUCAUGACAUUUGUAUCCGAUACAUUCCUAAUAUUUCAACGGGACUUUUUAACACAAAUUCUCUAUCAUCUCAUACUUGAGUCAACAUUAAAUAAUUUCAUGAAAUAAGUACAUAAUUACUGGAAAAUGACAGCAUUAAUAAUAAUUAUUGAAAUAUUACAUUUAUUUACCAUAAACUUACCUCGGUACAAAAUACGAUCAAAUCUAGCAACUUAGUCCUCAACCUUUUUCUUGAUCUAUAAUAGCAAAUUUAGCUUAUUUAAUAGCAAAUUUAGCAACUUAGUCCUCAACUCUGAAUUUCAUUCCUCUUGAUCUAUAAUAGCAACUUUAGCUUAUUUAAUACUCACAUUCAUCAAAACAGUCCUUGACUCGAACUUUGGAAAAAUUACAAUUUUCCCCUAAACUUUUGCAUAUUUACACUUUUGCCCCAAAGCUCAAAAAUUAAAAUUCAUCCCUUAUUCUUAUGUUUUAUGAUAUGCUGAACAUCUUUCUCUUCUAUGGCAACAUCAAAUUCCCACUCUAACAUUUACUUAUGAACAAUAGGUAUUUUUACCGAUUAUGUCGUUUUACUCGUUUUCACUUAAAAUCGCCUAGAAAAAGUUGUUUAACAUAAUUUCAAACUUCAUAUUUUUCCAUAAAACAUCAAAAUAAACACAUUUCACCUAUGAUUAUUUUCCAAAUAUGAACCCUAACAUGAAUUAAUGGAUGAAUAAGCUAAACCGAGCUACGAUGACUCCAAAAACGUAAAAAAACAUUAAAAACGGGGCUUGGAUGCACUUACUAUGAGCUUGAGAAACUGAAGAAACCCUAGCUAUGGAGUUCCUCAAAGUUUUGGCCCUUAUGGAAGAAGAUGAGCACAUUUUGCCAUCUUUUUCCCUUUUAAUUCUUUUUCUUACCAAAUGACUAAAAUGCCCUUCAUUAAAACCUUAGUUAUUUUUAUCUAUGCAAGCCAAUUUUUGUCUAUGAAAAUCUAAUGGUAUAAUUACCAUUUAAGGACUUCUAUUUCAAUUAUGCACUUCUAUUAAAUCCUUUAUCAUCUAAAGCUCAUAAUUGCUGAAAUUUCUUAUCGGUAUUCUAACACAUGCAUCCAAUCAAUCGAUAAAUCAUAAAAAUUAAUCACAAUAAACUUUUCUAUCUCAGAUUCGUGGUUUCACAACCACUAUUCCAUUUAGGCCCUAUUUCGGGAUGUUACACAUGGCUUGUUAAUUAAUAAAUUUUAAUGGUUUUUAAAUAAUAAAAUAAUACAUCAAUAAUUAAAAUAAAUUAAAUGAAAGACAAACAUAUUGCCAUCUUCAUUAGUUGAUUUCCACCAUUUGUUAAAGGAAGAAAACACCAUUUUUGGUGAGCUUGGAGGUUCGGCUAACUAUCAUCCCUUGCAUGUAAGUCAGUUUUGAUUCUGUAUUUAGUAACUUUUAUGUUUUUGAUAUCGUUGUAGCUUAAUCUAGCUAACCUGGGGACUAAUUUGCAAAAUUGUUAAAUAUUUAGAAUUUUUUCAUGGAUGAAUUUGUGAUGUUUUUGAAGUUUGGUGAUAGAUUAUUAAGCUUUAUAGUUAAAUAGGAUUAUUCUGUAAAGUAAUUUUUAUUAGUUUUUAGUUAAAGGAUUAAAUUGAUAUAAUAUUAAAUUAGGCAUUAAAUAUUUGUGAAAUUUUAAUAAAUAUGGGUUGUUUUGGUAUAAUGGAAAAUUCAACUAGCAUGAAAGUGGAGAAAUUGUUUUAUAUUUGAAAGUUUCGGGUUUAAGGACUAAAUUGUAUAAAAGGUAAAAAGUUUAGCGUAAAAACAUAAAAUGUUAAUUAAAGGGGAAGUUACAUGAAUUUUAGUAUUUUAAAAGUAUUUGAGCUGGAUAAUUGAAUUAAAUUAUUGUAUAGAUCAAGAAACAAAUCAACCGAACAUAGAUCGUGGAAAAACGAAGUAAGCGAAAUAGUCACCGACAUCGCGUUUGCAAUCAUUUUUUAUUAGGUAAGUUUGUACAAUGACUAAGCUCAUUAAUUUCUAUUUUGGAUGAAUGGUUAAUUAAUAUUGUGCUUUGUAUAACUUUAAUUGAUUGUAAAUUAUUAACUAGUAAUUUGGACUAAAUCGUAAUGUUAAUCAAAUUGAUUAUUAACUGUGAAAAAUGUGAAUUUCAUGGAUGUAUAUUUGAAAUGGUUUAAUUGAACGAAGUUAAAGGAUUGGAUAUGGAAUAUGUCCCAUUUGAACCUCAUGAAUACUUAGGAUGCAAAUGACAUGUCAUUAGGGGUUAUUUACAAUUUUGGGUACUGGUCUUAAAUUUCCUACCAAUGGCUAAGGUCCUGCAUUUGUUGCAAAUUCUCUACAGCUCGUGUCAGUAGCAUCGUGCAGCUUAACAUCCUGGCCCAUGGCUCAUGUGAGUAGACCCAUUAAACAGCUCAUGUGAGCAUACAGUUACAGGUUACUGUCACAACUUGUGUGAGCAUUUCCCGAGCAUUCGAUGUUAUUUCAUUUGGUUCAACGGGUGGUAAAGGCUUAAAUGAAUGUUUAUAUAUAUAUAUAUAUAUAUAUAUAUGAAAUGUUAUAUGAUCAAGACGUGUGAAUUGGAAGAUGUCGAUAUAAAUACUUGGAAUGGGAAUUUAUGUUUAUUGAACAUAUAAUGGAUGAAAUAUCUACUGAAAUGUUUAUUAUAACAUGUUCCAUGAUUUUGUUGUAAUUAUAUGUUUCAUUAAAACACCUACUAACCUUAUGAAGUUUUGUGCAUAGGAAUGAAAUGCAAUGAAUGAACUCAUUCUUGAAAGGUUUAAACAUAACAUGUUUGGUAAGUUUAAGUUCACGUUAUACAAGUUUACUAAACUAAUUGCUUAUGUUAGUUGUUUAUCUUCCUGUAGGUCAUCGGAAAGCUUGAUCGGCUGGAAUCAAGUCGGAGUACAAUCACACUAUCCAUCCUUUAUCUAGGUAGAAUUUUUGGUUAUUUUGAUUUCGAGUUAUAAAUGGCAUGUACUAGGAGCCUUUAAGUUAUUUUGUUUAAAAUAAUGUUGUUCAUAGGUUAGUUUAAGUAAGCUUUGUGGUUGUAUUUAUAUUUUUGGUACUUUUGGUUUAAGUUCGAGCUUUGAGGUGUUUUUAGUCAUUUGUUAACUGCCUUAUGCGAUUAGUUUUAAAUAUGGUGAAUAGUUGUGAUGAAAUAGAGGAUUUGGUAUAUCUUAAGGAAAUGUUUUGUAAGUAUUGAGAAUGUGUUUGUUUGGGUGUUUAAUUUGUGGUACAAAUACAUUGGAUAGGCAUUUAGGUUGAUAGAUACGUAUGUGUUUUGGCAUGUUUCGGGCUUGUUUUAGUGUGUUUUAAAUAGGUUUAAUUGUUGGGAAAUGGUAUGCUUGUGGUUCAAGAAAACAUGUAUUGGUAAACUUGCAUUUGAAGGUACAUUUGGGGUUACACUGCCUGGGACAUGGGCUAUCACACGAUCGUGUGUCAUACACGGCCACCCCGCACGACCAUGUGUCUUAUUGUUUUUAAGUGCAGGAUGGUCGACAUGGUCUUAGUGAGUUACACGGCCUGACGACACGGUCGUGUGACUUUUUUUUUAAAUUUUCCAAUUUUUGUUGUUUUGUUUCAAAUUAGUCCUUGAAUGUUUCCAAACUAUUUUUAAGACCCCAUAGGCUCAGUUUAAUGUCUGUAAUUGUGGUUAUACUUUGUACAUUGAUCAAGAUUGAAUGUUAUUAUAUGAAAUCAAUUAAUUGAUGUUAUGUGAAGUUAAUUGUUACAUGAUAAUACUCCGUAACCCUAAUCAGGUGACGGAGAUGGAUUUGGUGUGUUACAUGAAUCAUAUCACCUAACCAUCCACUAACAAUGCAUAUGGUAUAAUUAUCAUUUAACUCCACCUAUUUAUCUAUCAAUAGCCAUUUAACACAUUCAACUAAUAAAAGCUAACUUUUUCAACUUUUACAAUUUAGUCCAUUUUACUAAAUUAACUUAUUAAACAUUUAAAUUUCUUAACCAAAAUUUAAUACGAUCCUAUAUAAACUCUGUAAAUAUUAAAUAAAUAAUAAAAUAUUUACUCGCUUGUCGAAAUUGUGGUCUUGAUACCAUUGUUUUCGACUGUUAGAGUAUGCCCAAAGAUCAAUCAUGAGAUGGUUGUAAUAACAUACUUGAUUUAUCAUGUUUAUUAAUACAAGGCGUUACUAUUAUUAUUUCAGUUUCUUUUAUGUGUGUAUAAAUAAACUGUUUUACAAUAAUGCGUUAAGAGUAACAUGUAGUUGAUUGAUGAUAAAGAGUUGUCAUUGACAUGGAGUGUCAAAAUCAAUGCAUGAAUAUGUAUGUUAGAGAACAACAUAUUGGACUGACCCAUUAUGAGUAGGUUUCUUGGAUUAUUAUGUAAUUGUUACAACAUUACUCAUAGUGAUUAAUAUGCAUAUGAUCCUCAGACUUGAGAUCAUCAUUAUCCCAACAUCGUGAGUUGUAUAUUUUGAUACAGUCAAACGUACAUUGUAACUGGUUGUUCUAUAAAGGCUGAUGUUGGAUAUACCACGAUCUAUGUAGAGGGAUAUGGUUGAUCGAUAUAGGAUAAGUCCCUCCUACAUAAUGGGAGUAAUAUCUUAGGCCACUUGAUUGAGUGAGAAUAGAAAUGCAUGGCCAAGCUCAAAUAAGCUAAUAUAAGAUGUCGUACUUAUUUGUAUAUCAUAGUCUACUCAAGAUAUUAAGGAACAUGGGAUGGACUAUGCAAGUGUGACUAUUCCAUGACUUGUGUCCAACCCAGAGAUAAAGGACUUAAGGAUUAAUGCAUGAAAGGUUAAUCACAAAAAGGUUAUGUCCAAUCAUGAUUUCUUGUAACUUAGGUAGCAAUGAUGCAUUGCUAGAUGCCACUCAUCAUUUGUAACAUUAGAAUCGUUCUAGUAUUACUGCUAACGUUACAAGAACCUACAGGGUCACACCCUAUGGUUGAAAUGAACAGAAUAAAAUAUAGUUGGUAUUGCGUUUGGUUGUCACAUGAAUUAAAUUAAUUGUAGAAUUAAUAUAAUUGGGUAAUCAAAUAUCGAACAUAUUAUAUGCACAAGGUUGUUGUACACAUAAUGAGAACAUAUUAUAUGAUUUUGGUUCGUAUAUAAAUUCAAAUAAAUAUAGUUUACUGAAAUUAUUAUUAUAAUUAAUGUAAUUAUAAUUUUCGAUUUAAAACAUUGUUAUAUUUAUUUGAUUUAUUUAAUGAAUUAUGAUUCAUUAUAUAUACCAAUUAUAAGAGGGAUAUAUUAGACAGUUUUUUUUAAAACCCUAAAAAAAAUAUAAAAUCCUGUUUUUCCUUUGCUUGAAAAGUCUAGCAGCCGUCAAGCAAAGUCUUCUUCAAAAUAUAGUUUUAGGGAUUUCUUUCGUUCAUUGUCAACUGGGUGGAUUGCGUAGAGGCCGGAGUCACUAAAGGUUGCUGCUUGGUUCGAUAGUAGAACAGAAUACUCAUUACCGAGGCAUCGCUGUCUAUUUAGUUUAAAUAUUCGGUAAUUUCGAAACCUUAUUUCAUCCCAAUUCGUUCCUCACACACGGAUCCAUGGUUUGGAUCGCCAGAUGUAUUAAUUUUUUUGCUACGCCAUGGGGGUGCCGGCGUUCCUACAUCGAUACCAUUGAAAAUGGGUUGUUACAAUAAAUAUUGAUCCAACGAAAGUGUUCUCCAAAUUUACUGCACCUGUCACCUUAUUGUCCCUCAAUCUACGCCGUAUCCUUUGCUCUACCAACAUCCAUGGCCCGUACGACUGCUCUUCUAUGUUUGAUUCUUCGUGAGCCGUCACUGAUUCCACCAGUUUAAGAACUGUCUGCGGCGCCUCCGUCUCAACAUUUUUCUCUAAAGGUCGAUUUGGGCAAGUUUCUUUUAUAUGCCCGUAUCUACCACAUUCAAAGCAAACUGAUGGUAAAAUUUCAUACUCAACUCUCUGUGGUUUGUCAUUAAUCAGAACCUUGAAUAUUAGAGGCUUAUGCAAACUAACAUACACGGUUAAGCGGAUAACACGCCCUCUUGUCCUACUGUCGGUGUUCAGAUCCAACUUUACAACCGAACCAACCAUUCCCCCUAUUUCCAGUAGGAUUUUCCUUUUAUACAUAUAUCCGAGUAAGCCGAGAAGCUUGAUCCAUGCCAUAGCCACAUUCAAAAACGGUUGAGCAAGGUUAAAAUUCAUCGUUCGAGGUUGUACAGUUAGAUAUUGUCCAUAGAUAAUCCAUGACCCUCUGAUAAGACUUUAUUCGAAUCCCCCUUGUUUUGGAACCUGGCCAGGAAAUAUCCAUUUUCUAUGUCCAUUAAUUGAAAUGGAGAGGAUGGUUUCCACAGACUGUAUAUUUUAUUCUGCAAAGCCGAAUAACCUAUGUUGUGACCCAAUAAUUUUAAUACCACUGUUGUGCUCAUAUAUUUGAUUAGCAUCUAAUUAAUCCUUUUGGAAAAUUCAAUGGAAGGGAUUCCAUUAACGAAAGAUUUAAUGAUAUCUCAUUCCAUCAGAUCCAAGUCUUCGAUUGCAUCAGCAUAAAAAAGAGUCACCAGUCUUCUUGAAUUUGAGUUUGAAUUUCCAACACCAUAUCCUUUCAAGAGACUGUGUGAAGUAUUCCGAUUUACUGCCGAUUCUCUUUUAGACCUAUCAGAUUUAUCCUUAAAACAAACUUUCUUAGUAAUCAAUCCUUCCACAGAGGAAUCAUCAAAUCCAACACCUUCGUAGAGAGAAAUAUCCUUCACUUAGCAAAUUACAUCCAGAAAUUCUUUUUGUUUUGAUUUAGUUAGUUAUGAAAUAGGCUUUUAAGUGCCAGGAACGUGCCCACUUCCCUAGUGCUGGAGAUGUUAAAUGACAGUUUCCAUAUUUGAGUAUUAAUAAUUUAUUGCACGGUUUGAAUGAGCUAUACUGAUUAUUUGGAGGAUAUUUAACCCAACAAUGAAGGUCAUAUUACUUGGAAAAUUCACAUAGAAGAUUGGAUCAAAUUAAAUCACCCGAGACAAUCCCUUGCAAUAUGAACAUUUGGAUUGGAUUGAAACUCUUUGAGAUUAACUACCAAGAAUCCACGUUUAUUUUAUUCUCUAUUAUUAUAUUGUAAACAAUUUGUUGUAUUGCUGUGUUAAUAGGAUUGUUAUAGAUAUUCUAUGUUAGCAAGUCUCGAACAUAAAUCUAUUUAAGGGAAAGACUUGUAUAGUUUUUCUAUUGAGAGUUUUUAGCACUUAUCUUGUUCAAGUUAGAGAACUUUUCUUAGAGUGAAAAUUGUUAGUAAAACAGAUUGUGUUGUGGUUUUACUUGCUAAGUUCACAGGGGUGAACUUAGUAAUGAAAGUAUUGUUCUUAAAUAUUCAAAAGUGAGAAUCAUCAUCAUGGAGUGUGCGAUGAGUUAGGUUCACUUGUUGUAACUAUUGAAGUGAGUGGAUAUUUCCCAUUGAGUUAGACUUCGCAUACAUAGGAAAACCGAACGGUAUAAAUAAUUCAUGUGUGUUCUUUUUGUUUUCGAUUUCCAAAUUUGGUGUCAGAGAAGUAUCCACUUACCUGUCACUCCUUCCAAGUACUUAGUUAAUUCACUAGCAACAAUUUAAUAAUUUUAAUUGGUAUCAGAGCUUGCCACUUAACGUAACUAGUAGAGAUCCUAAAUGUUGCUAGAUUCAAGUCAUGAAAGGUUCUUCUACAUCUCGUCCUCCUAUGCUUGAAGUUGGAAACUAUGCUUACUGAAAGGCAUAUAUGAAGGCAUACAUUAAGUUCAUUGAUGAAAACGCAAGGUGUGCUAUGUUAGUAGGUUGGGAAUCCCCAAAAAUGGAGAUUGAAAAUGGGAGAAUAGUCAAGCCUGAAGUUCAAUGGGCCACUAAGUAAGAAAAAUUGACCAAUGCUAAUAAUAAAGCUCUAUAUGCCAUUUUCUAUAAAGUUGACCUUCAAGAAUUCAAACGAAUUGCCAAAUGCAUUGUGACAAAAUUAGCCUAAGAUAUAUCAGAGACUACUCAUGAACGCACUACAACUGUCAAACAAUCGAAGAUGCAAAUGUUAGCAUCCAAAGUUGAAAGUCUUAGAAUGUAGGAAUAAGAAAAAACUAGUCUUUCGCCGAGUAAAACUUACCCAUAUCUUCCUUUCCUAGGUUUAAACUCCACCCGAUCCAUGUAUUUAUAGUAUUAUGUGGUGCACUCUAGAUGGUUCCCAGUGAAUUACAGUUCUCGUCGUCGACUUUAUACGUACAUUCCGUGAAUAGCUUCGUUUUCUUAGUGCUGGACACCAUUCGAUUAUACAUAAAGGCCAAAUUGGUUUCUGUUUGUUCUUUCUGAUCAAAAUGUGGAUCAUUAUCCCAUUGUUGGUGUUGUUGAAUUGGUCGAGUAACUAGUUCGAGACUUGUGUGAUUUUCAUUAGCAAGAUGAAUGUGGAGAAUUGGCUGAUUUUUCUGAGGAUUUUCAUGGUGUUCGUCAGACUAGGUGAAGCCAGAGGUGAUGUUAGUGCCAGUAUCGAAGCUGAAGGCGAAGGAGGUGGUGGUGAUGGCUCCAGGGAGGGAGGAGACUUUCUCCUUGAAAUUUUUUUAAUAAUAUUUUUGUAGUUUUUAAUAAUUUUUUUUAAAAUUUAAAAUCUUUAAAUUUUCAAAUUUUUUUUUACUAACAUGGCAUAUUACAUCAACAUACCAUAUUAGUAUCGUUUGCCACAUCAAUGUUGUCAACUAUCAAACUAGUCAAUUAAUGUUUCCAUUCUUAUUUGAUUUUUUUUUCAUAAAAGACUCAAUAUACUAUAUUAUUUUAAGAGUUUAAAUUUUUUUUUUACUAAAAGUGUUUUUUUUUACCAUGAGCCUUUUCUAGGCAUGUAAAGAUUAGAUUGCUUUCAAAGACUAGUCAUUAACGAGGGUGGAUGAUGUCAUACUAGAAACAGAACAAAAGGAUAUGAGUUUGCAAUUUUACGGUACCAAAUAUGUGGGCAUUUUUAGGCAUGGAAAAGGUAAUACAAGCAUUGGGGAAACAUGCUUUGUGGUACAAUUGCCAAAAAGCAAGCAUUAACAACAGUGAGAAAUGGAUUCCUAGUGGUAAGCAAGUAACUGCUUGCGUUAGAGAGUACUCUGAAAAUACUACAUAUAAAAUAUGGAAAAAAAAAAAAGAUGAAAUAUUUCAGGAGGUUUCACCAGCAAUGUGUUUGAUGAAAUGGGUGACUGGAAACUGGAGGAAAAGUUAUGUAUAUGGUUGUAUUUGCUUGUUUUAGUUGAGAUUUGGCUUUCUUCUUUUUGUGGAAGAGACUAUUUGAGCGUUCUUCAUACUCCAAGCAUUGAGGGUUGGAAUAUUGACAUCUAAUGUGCCAUUGUUGAAUGCAUAUAGGUAGGCUUGGUUAUCAAUGGCCAGCUUGGGAUAAACUCUGGCAGUGAUGCAAGCUCUUCCUUCCCCACCAAAGCUCUCCACAAUAGAAUGAUCUAU